rnacentral:lncRNA from 1 species
UGGAGAUGUAACUCAGUGGUAGAGUUGGGGUUUGAUCCUCAGCACCACAUAAAAAUAAAUAAAUAUAUUGUGUCCAUCUCCAACUAAAAAAAAAUAAAAAUAAAAAUGCAAAGUUUUGGCCUAAACAACAGAUAUGUCACUACUUAGAUUUUUUGGUAUGUAGAAUUCUUUUCUGAUAACUGAAAUCUUUUUUGUUUUGUUUUGGGUGCCAGGGAUUGAAUCCAGGGCUUCAUGGGUGCUAAGCACAGACAGUACACUAAAUUAUAUACCCUGCCCUGAUAAGUGAAAUCUUAAAAAUGUAUUCCCAUUUGAUAGAAGAUAAAACUUACUUCCUAAUACAGUGUGUGACACACAGUAGUAAUUCAGUAAGUAUUUUAAAUAGGGAAGUUUCCCCAGUGCCCCAUGAUGGUAGAGAUAAGCAAGUGCUCCUAACACUGAGCCACAUCCCCAGCCCAUUGAUUGGUUUGGGAUUUUUGGUGUAUUACUAAAACUUCAAAAUUUGAAGUGACUUAUUUAAGCAUAACUCUACUUCUCAAAUGUCCAUUUAAUUUUAUCAAUUCUUAUUCUCAAUGUGACGGUCUAAAUACAUCAAAACCAAAACAAUAUUCCUGAAACUUUUAACUUUUUACAUGAGGGACCAUUGUAUCUCCACAGACUUUGGGGGGGUCAUAUGUCUUCCCAAAUAAAUAUAGACCUGUUUUCAUCACCAAGGAAAUGCCUGUCUGCUCCGAAUUGUAACUCUAAUCACACUCAUAUAGUUAUGCUUAUUACUGUGAAGACAGAGUUAAAUAAACUUGUUUAUUAUACCAGCUAAAUGUUAUAUAAUUACAGUCCUCAUUUCAUUUUAUCUAUUAAGCCAGAUGCCAUUUAAUCUUUUAGAAAAUUCAGAUAAUCUUUCAACUUCUUCUAAUUUUCUCCUUUCAUUUAUUUUUCUUUACAAUAUAUGUAUGGCUCUGUACUUCAUUUUUCAGUUUCCC